rnacentral:tRNA from 1 species
ACCCCCAUAGACUAGUGGUUAGGACACCUCUCUUUCAAGGAGGCGGCGGGGAUUCGAAUUCCCCUGGGGGUA